rnacentral:rRNA from 1 species
AACGAACGCUGGCGGCAUGCCUAACACAUGCAAGUCGAACGAUGCCUUCGGGCAUAGUGGCGCACGGGUGCGUAACGCGUGGGAAUCUGCCUUUCGGUUCGGAAUAACUCAGGGAAACUUGAGCUAAUACCGGAUAACGUCGCAAGACCAAAGAUUUAUCACCGAAAGAUGAGCCCGCGUAGGAUUAGCUAGUUGGUGAGGUAAAGGCUCACCAAGGCGACGAUCCUUAGCUGGUCUGAGAGGAUGAUCAGCCACACUGGGACUGAGACACGGCCCAGACUCCUACGGGAGGCAGCAGUGGGGAAUAUUGGACAAUGGGCGAAAGCCUGAUCCGGCAAUGCCGCGUGAGUGAUGAAGGCCUUAGGGUUGUAAAGCUCUUUUACCCAGGAAGAUAAUGACGGUACCGGGAGAAUAAGCCCCGGCUAACUCCGUG